CCUACGGGUGGCAGCAGUGGGGAAUAUUGCACAAUGGGGGAAACCCUGAUGCAGCGACGCCGCGUGAGUGAAGACGUAUUUCGGUAUGUAAAGCUCUAUCAGCAGGGAAGAAAAUGACGGUACCUGAUUAAGAAGCGCCGGCUAACUACGUGCCAGCAGCCGCGGUAAUACGUAGGGGGCACGCGUUCUCCGGAUUUACUGGGUGUAAAGGUAGCGUGGACGGAAGCACAAGUCUGGCGUGAAAUGCCGGGGCUUAACCCCGGAACGGCUUUGGAAACUGUGCAGCUAGAGUGCACGAGAGGUAAGUGGAAUGCCUAGUGUAGCGGUGAAAUGCGUAGAUAUUAGGCGGAACACCAGUGGCGAAGGCGGCUUACCGGACUGGAACUGACGUUGAGGCUCGAAAGCGUGGGGAGCAAACAGGAUUAGAUACCCGAGUAGUC
rnacentral:rRNA from 1 species